CAGCCGCCGCGGGAAUACGGAGGGUGCAAGCGUUAUCCGGAUUUAUUGGGUUUAAAGGGUCCGUAGGCGGAUCUGUAAGUCAGUGGUGAAAUCUCACAGCUUAACUGUGAAACUGCCAUUGAUACUGCAGGUCUUGAGUAAAUUUGAAGUGGCUGGAAUAAGUAGUGUAGCGGUGAAAUGCAUAGAUAUUACUUAGAACACCAAUUGCGAAGGCAGGUCACUAAGAUUUAACUGACGCUGAUGGACGAAAGCGUGGGGAGCGAACAGGAUUAGAUACCCCGGUAGUCCCUGUCUAUUAUAC
rnacentral:rRNA from 1 species